AAUUGUAAGAGAACAACUGAGAUGUCUGAAGACUCCAGCACUUUGUCUUUUACCCAUUCACUUACCUAUCUUUCUAACAGUGUGCAAGAUCUUUCCUCUAUGGUACAUGAUUAACCUUUCACUGAGGCUCAGAUUGACAGUGAUUGGUUAACAUGUACCAGUAAUGGAAACUUAGAUGACUCUUUUGCCGUGAAUGUUUUACAGAUACAACAUGAAAAGUGCACUUUACUUUUUGACUUAUGACUUUGACUAAGGUUUUUGGUUGGCUUCAUAAACUCUUAAAAUUGCUGAAAAGAAAAUUCAGAAAAUUUGUUUAUUGUUUUCCUCUCUUUUAAUCUUCUCUGUUUUAUGAUUUAGAACUGUGUUUGAGUGCUUUGCUAAGAACAGUGAGGGCUGUAUUAAGGCAGAUGCUCUAAGCUCUACCCUUUAGUCAGUGGGAAUCACCACGAGCCCAGAAGUACACACUGCUCUGGAGAGGGCAGACUAUGAUGAGAAUGGAACAGUGGGAUUUCAUGACUUCCUGCCAAUGAUGACUGACUACCGGAGAUUCUCCAAGUGUAUGAAAGCUAAGGAUUCAGACCCAGUGGAUGUGUCCCAGAAGAGGCAAAGAAGUGUCAGAAGGAGAAGCCUUUUCUGAUGUGUCCCUGUCUGAAAGUGGAACACAUUCACAUGUGUGGGGCUCUAAACAGCGCUCCUCUGCUGCAUGCAGGCUGGAUGGAGUCUGCCAAGACCUGGAGGACCGUCAAGCUUGAGGACGAAAUCUGGCAGCUGUCAAUCAAGAACUCUGGAAUGGAAACAAAGAGAUGACCACCCCGGUGGAGAUCAAGGUGGACUUUACAAUGAAAGAGACUCACCUUUGACCAAAUUGAGCAGAUUGCAUCCAAGGCUUCAGACUACUGUGUGUAUCCUGUCCCUCUUUUGCUUUGCUCCACUGUGUGCAGUCUCAGGCCAGGCUGAAGCCUUUACCUGAGCACUCUGGCUCAGUACAAGUGGUGGGAUUCUUGGAAGUCCUGGAGCUCCCUGCAGAGCUAUUGCCAGCUGCAUUUCUGCCGCCACUUCCCGCAGAAAUUUUGCACGUACUCAUGGUCAUGGAGCACCUGCCAGAACAUGAUAUAUACUGCUGAGCUGCUGCAGGGCACAGGGUCUCCCACCCAUGCCUGACAGGGGCAGACCUUGCUCCUGCCAAAGCUCCACACCAAGGGUCUGGGGAGACCAGGAUCACAGAGAGAGGGGUGCAAACCCUGGCACAGAGUGGAAGCAUAAAAAUACAAUUGUAGACAAUUGUUUUACAGAUCUAGGUUUUAUAGGUAUUGCAUGCAGCAUUGUCAGUAGAGAUUUUCUUUUAUCCUUUCAAUUUUUGAAAAACUAGGAUUUGCUGGAAAACUAAAUGUUAUGACAAGCCAAUGGCUUAACAAUGAACUUCUGUGGAAUUCUACAAAGCUGCAUAAAAAACUCACUCUGCAGGGCACUGCAUAAGUAUAAACAGCUUAAACUCCACACUUAUUAUUCAGUUACUGACCAUAAAACCUAUUAUUCAGAACUACUGUGAAUUCUUCAGUAAUUUAUGAUCCUUAAAUUGGGGGCAUUUUUCUUCUUUUACUUUCAGUAAAUAAAAUGAGGUAUCAUUUUGUUUUAAUUAUGUCUGUCACACCCUUUUUUUUGUUGCUUUUUUUUGCAUCUCCAUCCUGCAAAUUUUGGCUUGCCUUCAUGCAACGUCAAAAUGUCAAGACAAUGUUUAAAUGUUUUAAGCAAAGACCUAAUGAUGGGCUAAACUGAUCUUACAUUGAAAUAACAUAUUUUAGAUUUUUUUGCUAAGUGACAUCAAAAACAAAAAAGGAGACAACAAGCAGAUAAUUUGCUCUCAUUUAUAUUGUAAACAUUAUUGACCAUAAAAAUAACUUUUGAGUUUUUAACAUUCAACACAUCAAAUAUUUUUCAUGUUUUCAUCACCAAAUAAU